ACACAUGCAGUCGAGGGGUAACAGGAGUAGCUUGCUAUUUGCUGACGACCGGCGCACGGGUGCGUAACGCGUAUAGAAUCUACCUUAUACUGGGGGAUAGCCUUUGGAAACGAAGAUUAAUACCCCAUAGUAUUAUUUUUUGGCAUCAUUAAAUAAUUAAAGUUUCGGCGGUAUAAGAUGACUAUGCGUUCUAUUAGUUAGUUGGUAAGGUAACGGCUUACCAAGACUUCGAUAGAUAGGGGUCCUGAGAGGGAGAUCCCCCACACUGGUACUGAGACACGGACCAGACUCCUACGGGAGGCAGCAGUGAGGAAUAUUGGACAAUGGAGGCAACUCUGAUCCAGCCAUGCCGCGUGUAGGAAGACUGCCCUAUGGGUUGUAAACUACUUUUAUAUGGGAAGAAUAAGAUCUACGUGUAGAUUGAUGACGGUACCAUAAGAAUAAGCACCGGCUAACUCCGUGCCAGCAGCCGCGGUAAUACGGAGGGUGCAAGCGUUAUCCGGAAUCAUUGGGUUUAAAGGGUCCGUAGGCGGGCAUAUAAGUCAGUGGUGAAAGUCUGUGGCUUAACCAUAGAAUUGCCAUUGAUACUGUAUGUCUUGAAUUAUUGUGAAGUGGUUAGAAUAUGUAGUGUAGCGGUGAAAUGCUUAGAGAUUACAUAGAAUACCGAUUGCGAAGGCAGAUCACUAACAAUAUAUUGACGCUGAUGGACGAAAGCGUAGGUAGCGAACAGGAUUAGAUA
rnacentral:rRNA from 1 species